rnacentral:ncRNA from 2 species
CGUUCGAGAACGGCGCCCUAUGCUCCACGUGUAGUGAUGAGAUAAGGAAGCUGGUGAGAUUCCAGCACGGUCGCGCCACUGUGAACCGACCGCCCGCGAGGGUGGCCGGUGAGUCAGACACUUAUCCGUCACUUCGCCCCGUU